AGGGCAAGUCUGGUGCCAGCAGCCGCGGUAAUUCCAGCUCCAAUAGCGUAUAUUAAAGUUGUUGCAGUUAAAAAGCUCGUAGUUGAAUUUCGGGGUCCUACCGUUGGUCGGGCUUUGUCUGUACUGGCGUGUAGAAUUUCUACCUUCUGGGGAACCAUUAUGUUAUUAAUUUAGCGUAGUGGGAAACCAGGACCUUUACCUUGAAAAAAUUAGAGUGUUCAAAGCAGGCUUAUGUCUGAAUACAUUAGCAUGGAAUAAUAGAAUAGGACGGUGGUCCUGUUUUGUUGGUUUCUGAAUCACCGUAAUGAUUAAUAGGGAUAGUUGGGGGCAUUAGUAUUCAAUUGUCAGAGGUGAAAUUCUUGGAUUUAUUGAAGACUAACUUCUGCGAAAGCAUUUGCCAAGGAUGUUUUCAUUAAUCAAGAACGAAAGUUAGGGGAUCGAAGACGAUCAGAUACCGUCGUAGUCUUAACCAUAAACUAUGCCGACUAGGGAUCGGACGAUGUUAAUUUUUCUUGACUCGUUCGGCGCCUUACGGGAA
rnacentral:rRNA from 1 species